UAGCCCUAAAUCUUGAUGACCCCAAACACAAACAUCCGCCUGAGAACUACGAGCACAAACGCUUAAAACUCUAAGGACUUGGCGGUGCUCUAAACCCACCUAGAGGAGCCUGUUCUAUAAUCGAUAACCCACGAUUCACCCGACCACCUCUUGCCAAAACAGCCUAUAUACCGCCGUCGCCAGCCCACCUCGUGAGAGCACAACAGUGAGCCCAACAGCCCACAGCCCACUAACAAGACAGGUCGAGGUAUAGCCUAUGAGAUGGAAGAAAUGGGCUACAUUUUCUAAAAUAGAAAACCCAACGAAAAGGGGCUUGAAACCUGCCCCCAGAAGGCGGAUUUAGCAGUAAAGUAGGA
rnacentral:rRNA from 1 species